GUCAUUACAUGAAUGCUGACUGAAUGCAGACCAUAGACUCUACAGUCUAUGGUCUGCAUUCAGUCAGCAUUUGUGAUUUGGU